rnacentral:lncRNA from 1 species
AUAUUAAAAAGGGUAUUGAAAAGAGACGAGGGGAAGAAUUUAGAGUGAGAUGUAGAGAAAGAAGUAGAGAAAAGGGUAAAAUCAUAAUUUUAUACUAAAAAUAAUUAAAAGUACAAGAUAAAGUACAAAUUACACAAAAUGAAGGUGAAAAUCAUAUUCAACACCCAAAUCAAGGGGGAGCUCCGAUUUAUAAAUGCAAUGGGUAUACUAUGGCCAUCAGAUGAAGCCAAUUCCGACGAACAGGAUUGUGCCAAGUGGCAUUCUCAGAUUGGAUGAAACACGUCAUUAGGGCUAUCAUUCCAUGCAUGCGUGUGUAUAGUACGUGUGUUUUUCGGUCUACUGAUAUGCUAACACGUCACUAGUCAAAUGCAGGGUCAACAAGUAUUGUUUCGAUGUGUGUAAGUCUACUAUAAAUACAUUAAAGGGCUGAAUAGAAUGUGACCACAUCAUUGGUCAAUGCUACAUCAACUAGGCUCAACCAACAUUAACAUACAUCCUACCACACUAUAUUCAAACCUGUAUAAAUCUAGUUUUAUUUAAUGAGAGUAUGUUUUAAUGCUGAUUUCUGUCAUUAUUCUGGUUUUCAGGGCUUCUGAAUCUGUUUCUAACAUCAAUGCUGCUAGGACUGGGAAAACAACUCGACUCUAUCCAAUACGAAAAAUUUGGAUAAGGGUUGGAUUGGAUUGUUUGCCAAACCCGAUCGGAUGUAUAUAACUAAUCUGAUCGGAUUAAAAUUGAUCUGAUCUAAAAGUCGACGGUGUUGGACACAAAUGAACACCACAGCUCAUAACUCACGCUCUUGGUUCCAAGCAAACAUCACAACUCCAUUUAAAGAAAAAAGCCAAAAAAAAAGUUACAAAAAUAAAUUUUAGGAGUCACACUUCACUGUUCACUCUCUUAUUUAUCUUCUUUCUCACUCUCUUCUUUUUUCCACAAACAACUAAUAAGCAACAAAAGUAGGUUAGAAUAACUAUGGGCCAAUGGUAGCCCUCCACUUCAAUCGAAUCAGCUGCACUGACAACGGAUUUAUUGGCUGAUGCAUUGACAGUGCCUCCAUUUUACUUCGAUUGGAUUUGCUCUUCCAACAAUCACUGAAAAAACCUACGAAGACAUCGAGGAAACCCACUACCACUUGAUCCAUUGGCCACUGCUUGAUCCACACAAAGCCAUCCACAAUUGCUCCAAUAAGAUCAAGAUCAACAGCCACCAUCACCAAGUCCUCCAAGCUUUUGAAUUUUUCAAUUCAUAUUUCAAUUUAUAAUUUUUUUAUAAAAAUUAGUGGAAACAAACUAAAGUGAAAAACUUUCAUUAAAAUAAUCUUGUAAUAACUAAAUAAUUAUAAAAAAAACCCAAAAUUAACAAAAAACUAAAAUUGUCCUUGACUCGAAUUGACCAAUGUAAAUAUCAGGUUGAGUUUAGAUGAUAAUUAUUUAUGAUAGAAUUGAAGAGAGGAUGUGCUAAUAUUGUCUUUGCUAUUCUUGUUUAGGUUCAUGGCCACCACCACUAUCAUAAGGCUGGCAAAAAAUAACAAAGUAAAUGCUAGAGAGAGGAAAAGGAUACUUUUGCUAAUAAAUUAAAUUAAUUAAGAAGUGACAACUGUAAAGGUACUUUGAGGAGGUCCAAUAUCACUACUUGAAAAAUACCGCGUAAUUAGUCCUACACAUUGAUUUAAUAUAAAAUGAUCAAGUCCAAGCCAAGCUCUAUUAGUGUUCAAUCGUUUUUGUGAAUUUUCAAAUUUUCUCUCAAUAUCAAUUUACACGAAUAUAGAAAGAUUUUAGAUUAAGAUUCGUGUAAUAAUGCAAAAUGCAAACAUGGAAAGCAUUAUUUGGCAUAAACAUAAAGACAUAAGUGUUGAAAUUCACAAGAGUAUUGAACCAAAUCUAAAAGCAUUAAUCAAAUUAUAAUAGAAGCUCAAGAUAUUAUGAGAAUUAACAUUAAUUAAUUGACAGUUUGACAAUUGGUGUGUGCAACUAUGUAUAAUCCUUAUUGAUUUUGUUCAAUGCUCUGGAUCAAUCAGUUUCCAUAGUAUUGCACACACCAAGCAUAUCGACUACCUUGGCAAUUGCUAAAUGGGUAAGAAGAGGAAUUCAUUAACAAGCUAGCAACUAGUUUGCGUCCAUGUUACCAUUAUUAUGACCAAGUUAAAGGAGCAUUAGCUUUUGGCUUCAUUGGACUCAUUAUCUCAUUGUUUUUGCUUCUCUAUUCAAUCCACACAGCAGUGUUGAAUCCCCUACUUGUUCAAAGAGUUGAUUCAUUGUCUCAAGUCAUUUUGGUUGCCCACUUUGAGAAUUUAUUUCUUCUUUUUAUGGUGCUUUUUAUCUAAUAAGAGUGUGCGAAUUGGAGCUUGCAUUUGUCAUCUCAAAAGCAUUACAAGAGAGACAAAGCAAGUAAAGUUGAAUAUUAACUACUUGAUGAAGAUUCCUUGUACUAAUUAAUCCUACAUGUUAUUCUUCGUGCUAACCACAUAAGGGUCUUGAAUUUGUAGGAGUUAAUAGUACUAGAUGCACGCACAAAAAACACAUGACAUAAUAUUGCGUACUCGUAAUGGAUUAGUUUAUUCUUUUACUAAAACACAGUUUUAAUUCCACGACAAUUGAUCAUUAUUGCAAAAGCACUGAAAGAAGAUAAAAGAAAUAACUAAUUAUCAAAUUCAUUUGCAUCCCCUUGGGGAACAAGGGCAGAUAUUGUCUUCGAGAGGCUUUUUUAACUUCUCGAUCAAACACUCUUCCCUUAUAAGCCCUGAGCAAUCAAUAAUGUCUAGUGAUGCUGUAGGAUUAAAGGAAAAUGAAGCAUUUGGGUUAGAAUAUUGGCAAGUGCAACAUGCUGAAAUAGGUGUGGCUUUAGUAUUUUCCAUUACAAGCAAAGCCAAGAUGAUGAAACUAAAAAUCUUUGACAUUUUUAAGUUUCACUAGCAGACUGACUACAAGUUUACCUGCAAGUCCCCCAAUAUGAUGACCAAAUUAAAGAAGCAUUAGUUAUUGGCUUCAUUGGACUUGUUAUCCACUUGUUUCCACUUCUCUAUUUAAUCCACACAGUAGGCCUGAAUCCCCCAACUUGGUCAAAAGACUUAAUUCAUUGCCUCAAGUAUUUUUAGCCACCCUGUUUGAGAAUUUGUUUAAUCUUUUUAUGAUGCUUCCUAUCUAAUAAGAGCAUGUGAUUAGGAACUUGUAUUUGUUUAAUUCAUAACAUUUUAAAAGCAUUACAAAAAAAAACAGAAAAGAAAAGCUGAAACUGACAACAUUGAUUAAAAUUCCUACUUGUUAUUCUUAAUGGUAACCACAUCUAGGUCUUGAAUUUGCAAGAUUUUGCAUCAUUAAAUGAUUAAUCUUAUUGUUAUCUCUGCUUUCACUAUUCUCUCAUAAAAAAAUAUUUUUUUAUCAUAUUAGCUGGAUAAAAAUUAACAAACUAACAUAUUAUCAUUUUUAAGCCAUCAAUCAAGUAUAAAUACUUAAUUAUUUAGUUAUAUAACAAAAGUAAUGAAAUAUCUAAAUUUCAAAAACAUAUAUUAAAUUAAAGCCAAGCUAGCCAUCACAAAUAAAUAAAAGAAUACAUAUUUGCAUUUAGGAACAACUGCUUUAAACCAUUUUGAAAUUACCAAAAAAAAUUCCUUAAAUGAAAUAAAAUAACAUAAAAUAAAAGAAAUUAAAAAUCCAAUAUUUUUAUUUUCAAGUGAUGAAAUUAAAAUUUUGGUUACAAUUCCAUGUGACUGCUGUUGUUUAGCCUAGCCAACGAAUUGUCCAUUUCCUUAUAAAAAAAAAUUCAUCUUGAAUGCAAUUUGCAAAUCAGUUAUAACAACAUCGCAUCUAAUGAGAGAAAGACUUUCCUAUGUUUAGUAGGUGAGGCAAAUACGUGCUAGAAUAAUAGGAAAAUUGUUGUUAUAUUAAUUGGGGCAAACUUCAAUUCAUCCCCCUGCCAACAAAAAUCUUCAAUUUACCUUUCAAAAACAUGAAAACCUCAACUUACCUCAAUUUUUGUUCAGAAGAUGAGCGUAAUAAUGAUCGUUAUUAGUAUUUCAACAUAUUACUCUCUUGUAGAUUGAGUCAAUGAUAGGUAUACAACAAAAUAGUGUCAGAUGCAUGCACAAAAGACACAUGACAUAACAACGCAUACUCAUAAUGGAUUAAUUUCUUCUUAUUAAGACAUAUUUUCAAUAUCACUAUAAUUGAUCAUUGUUGAAAUAAGUGUGCUUUCAGUGUUUACCACUACAAGGAAAGCUAAGAUGAUGAAACUAAGACUCUUCGACAUAUUUCUGUUUCUUAGGUGAAUUGUAAGUAACUUAAUUAGAAAUAAAAGAGAUCUACAAUAAUCAGAAAGGCAUGAGCCUCCAUUUAUAUGAAUGAAUAUUGAGAAACCAGUCGCAGUGACAUUAAUGGGAUUGAAAGAUUCCAUAAAUGAGGAUUAAAUAAAUUAUGUUGUGUUUGUUUAAAUUAACUAUUGACUUUAAUAUAAUGUUGCAUUAUAAAGGCAAUUUUAACGUACAUUCAUUUAAUUUUAUCAUUUUUAGUGUUAUUAUUUUGUUCAAUUUAUUAUUAGAUUCAUUCUCUUCAUAUCAGUCGUCAAGCUAUUUUUUUAUGUACAAAGAUGUUUCUAUAAGCCACGACCUCUAAUAAAAUCAACCACAUCUUAUUUUAAGCAUGCCAAUGAUGCAAUACAAUGCUAUAUACUUACAUGGAUAUACAGUAAAACUUAUAUAAGUUAAUAAUGACAAAAUCAUUUAACAUAUAUCAAUUUAAAGAGAAAUUUGUAUUAAUCAAUCAACAAGUUAUAUAAGAGAUUAUGGUUUACAAUUCAAUGGUCAUAUUCAUAUUAUGAGAUAAUAAUUUCCUAAGCUUACAAACAUAACUUUUAUAAUAUGUUAUUAAAUAAAAUAUGACCCAACUAUUAUUUAUUUUUUUCUUCAAAUCCAAACAUAAUGGGAUCUCAUCUGUGAUUUUACUUAUUCCUGUUGAAUUCAAAACUACAAUAAUUUUGAAUUUUUUUUUUGUUAACUGUAAUCAAUAUUUAGGGGAUUAAGUUAUUUUCAAUUGACUAGAUUGGUAAAAUAAUAUGAAUUAUCUAGUUGAUUAAAUAUAUGUUUAUUGAAUUGUAUAUACACUCGAUAAAUUAAUAGAUUAUUAACUUAUUGAUUAAUUUGCAUCAUAUGCACUUUAAGUUUAUAAUAAGUGUAUUAUUUUCCCCUUCAAUAUAAAAUUUUUCAAAGUUAUUGGAUUUAUUACAUAUUAUCACUAGUAAAAUUUUGGGGUGAGCCGAGUUCAACACGACGAAUAAUAGAUGUUGGUUGUGAAAUUUGACACGGUUGUUAAAUGUAUCGUGUUUAGAAUAAUUUAAAAUUGUCACUACAUGAAAUCGAGACAAUUCAAGCAUAAUUCAAUGGUUGUGUAGUUGUUUAAUUUCAACACUCGAGUGUGACAUUAGCUUAAUUUGUAUUAAGCUAAAAAAAAUGAGAGGAGAGAGAGCCGGUUCUAUAAAUUGACUGAAGGGGGAGAUAAAGGGAGAGAGAGAGAAAGAAAGUUGACCGAGUUAACCCGCGAACUAGACCCGAUCGUAUCUUCCAUUUUCGGCCACCCCACCAGUCGAUCAAGGUACCGAUUGAAAGCUUGGAAGCUGGCUGUCACUUCCUUGCCAUUAUCACCAUCGAAAACCGACUAGAGCACUGGUCAUCAAGCUCGAAAAGGUCGCGGCAAGUCCCACCUCUACUCGCUAUCGUCUUAUGGGGACUAGUUUAUACAUGCAGAGAUAUUAUGAGAUCUAUGAGACAUAAGAGAUGGCAUUUCCUUGUCAACCUGGUGCAGCUCUGGGACAUGACGAUUCCCUAAUUAGUAUAUCGUUGCCCGCCCGUUGAGGUCCAAGUAUGACAAGAUUAUUCUCCUGGAUACUUGUUUACUGACAGUAUUUUGGAAUACAAUAUUUGAGUUUGCAGUGUGUUAUGAUUUUUCUUAAUUUUAUGCAAUAUUAUAUAUUCUGUUAAUGUCAUUGUAUGAUUAUAAUUUAAUAAGUUAUUUAAGUUUCUUAUGGAAAUUUGGGGAAAUUUUUUUUUGAAAAGGAUAAAUUUUUUUAAAACCAGGUUUUUUUAAAAAAACUAUUCCCUUUCAGGGGUUUUUUUUUCCCCCUUUUUUUUUUUUUUUUCCCCCCCCCCCCCCCCCCCCCCCCCCGCCCACAAGACAAUUGCACAUACAACAGUCGGCCCAGCAAUGAUAGUUAUUUUAGAAAUAUUGUAUUUUGACAUUAGAAUGGUCAGAUGAUAACUGGUAUUUUGAUUGAGGAAGUUGAAUGCGGAGGUUGGUUGUGUAUUGAACUAUUUUAGGAGUGUUUGUUUUAUAAAUUGUAGGUUGGAAAUAUUACAUCUAUAAGGGAGAUACGACAUAAUACUUAUUAAAUGGAAUAUUGUCAAUUAUGUUAUAGGAUAUCAGGCACAUUUGCCUCGUGUGGUUUAGGGCGAGUCGUUUCAUAAUUAAUACAUCUCUUUAUAUUAAUAGAUAUUGCAUGAUUUUGACAUUAUUAAUUUACAAAGGCUUUAUUGUAUAUCCACAAAAAUAUCUAGCAUUACAUUGCGCCAACGGCUUGUCUAAAAUAUAGGAUGUGGUUAAUUUCAUUGGAGGACAUCAUUUAUAGAAAUAUCUUUAUCUAUUAAAAAGAAUAGCUUGACGAUUGAUAUAAAGAGAAAACAUCUAAUAAUAAACUAAACAAAAUAAUAAGACAAAAAUGAUAAAAUUAAGGAAAUAUUUGUUGAAAUUACCUUCAUAAUGCAUCAAGAUAUUAAAAUUAAUAGUUUAUUCAAACAAAAUCGGUAUAAUUUUUUAAGCUUCAUUUUGAAUUCUUUUCAAUUACAUUAAAGUCAAUACAAUACAUUUCUCAAUAUUCCUUUAUAAAAAUAGAAGCUCAUGUCUUUCUAAUUCCUACACAUCCAUUUUAAUUCAAAUUAAGCUGUUUAGAAUUCAAAUAAGAAAUUGAAAAAAUGUCAAAGGGGCCAAUUUCAUCAUGCUUGUAAUGGUAAACACUAAACUCAUGCUAGCAUAGAUGCUUCAUUUUCUCUUCCUUAGGCUUACAAGGGAAAAUUGUUUGAUCGAGAAGUUACUAUACCUACACAUGCCUCAGGGGGAAUGUAAAUGAUUUUGAUAAUCAGUUGUUUCUUUCAUCUUUAUCAGUGCUUUUGUGAUAAGGGAAAAAGCUUUUUUCAUCCCUAUAGUUGGAUAUAAUAGCCCAUUUCAUCCUUACUUUUUAAACAAUAGCUCGUUUCAUCCUUAUUUUUCAAACAAUAACCUAAAAUACCCUUCCGUGAAUUUAGAAUUAGUUUACGCUAUAAUUCAUUGAGGGCAAAAUAGGAUUUUCAGUUAAAUAAAUACAAACCUUUUUAAAAUACAAAUUUCAAGAAUAAUUGAAUAAUAUCUAACUUUUUCCAUAAAUUUAAAAUUUAAGGACAACUUAAUAAAACAAAAAUAAUACUGAAGAAUAUGCAACAUGUGUGUAUGUGUGUGUGUUCAUUAAUUGUUUUUUUACUGAAGUCAACUAAAUAAUAACAACAACAGCAACAGCAACAACAACAACAACAACAACAACAACAACAAUAAUAAUAAUAAUUCUUUUCAAUAAGGAAUCACUAUUUAUAAUAAGGUCAAGAAUAAGCUAAAAGAUUAAAAACAAAAUCCAAUACAAUAUAUUUUAUUCUGUAGUAUUUUUAAAUACAUGUUAUAAAUUUAGAGCACAUUUUUUUUAAGUAAAUGAAGAAGUCUGUAAUUACUUUUAAUAGAAUAACAAUACUGAUUGAUUAUUUAUUUAUUCAUCUCGACCAUAUUAAAGUUAAGGAUAAGCUAAAGGAUAAAAAAAAUUACUCUAGUGCCUAUGAAAUUUAUGUUUUUUUGGUCCUAAAUAUAUAUAUUUACAUAUUAUUUAAUGUUAUUAUUGUUUAUUUAUUAAGUUAUCCUUAAAGCUAGAUGUUUUUUAUUUGUGUUUGAGAGUUUAUUUUAAAAUAAUUUAUCAUUAUUUAGAAAUCCUAUUUUACCCUCAAUGAAUUAUAUAACACAAUAACAGUAAAUUAAUAAAAGGAUGUUUUGGGCUAUUGCUUAAAAAAUAUGGAUGAAAUGAGCUAUUAUUUAAACAAUAAGGAUGAAAUGAACUAUUGCAUCAUACCUUAGGGGUGAAAAGGGCAUUUUCCCUUGUGAUAAUGAUCAAUUGUAGUGAAAUUGAAACCGUGUUUCAAUAAAAGUAGAAAUUAAUCCACUAUGAGUACCUGAUGCGUUGUCAUCUACUUUUUGUGUGUGUUUUUGGUGUGCUUUGUUUUAUGCAAAUCAUUGAUCAAUCUAUGAGAAACAAAUUUAUUGAAACACUAAUAAUGAUCAUGCGAUCAUAAUUAAUGUUUGUAACAUACGUAAUAUUUAAAUGUUAAGUCUAUUUUCUUUUAGGGUGAGGGUAUAUGGAUCCUAUUUUAUUGUAAUCUAAUUUUUUUUCCUAAAUCUUAUAUUCCAAAACCAUCUGAUUUAAUUUAUGGGUAAAUUCAAUUUAUGCCCCAAGAAUGUGAAAAAAAUCACUUCACCCACAUUUACUGCUAUGAAAAUAAAUAAAAGAUCAUCAACUUGCCCCCUAUUUAAGCUCAUCUUCUGAACAAAAAAUAGUGUAGAUUGAGGUUCUCAUGCUUUUAAAGGGUAGACUGAAGAUUGUUAUUAGGAGGGGGAUAAAUUAAAGUUUACCUCAAUUAAUAUAAGAAAACUUCUCAUAUUAUUUCUGACACGUAUUUGACGUGUUGACAUGCCCACAUCAAUUCAAUUGGUAACUCAUGUUGAACGAAUGGAUUGAUUAGAUAAAUUAUCAUAGGAUCUUAGGCAAUCUUGUAUUCCACAUACCUUACUAACUUAUUUCUUAAGAAUUUUUGUAAUUGCAUUUGUUGUAAUUUGUAAUAGCUAAUUACAAGAACUGACUCAAUACUUCAAUCUUGAAUCAAUCAAGAUCGAUUUGGAAUCAAGAUUAAUGAAGAACAGAGUACAAACAGAUCACAUCUGAAGAGUUCCAAGAAUCACAUGCAAAGAAGAAUUAUUCUAAUUGUAGAAGAAAUGAGUGAGAAAUGGCUUAUAUGCACAAGUUUAAAAAACCAGACAGUAAAACU